rnacentral:rRNA from 1 species
UGCAAGUCGAGCGGCAGCGCGGGGGCAACCUUGGCGGCGAGCGGCGAACGGGUGAGUAAUGUAUCGGAACGUACCCAGUCGUGGGGGAUAACUAUCCGAAAGGAUAGCUAAUACCGCAUACGUCCUGAGGGAGAAAGCGGGGGACCGAAAGGCCUCGCGCGAUUGGAGCGGCCGAUAUCGGAUUAGCUAGUUGGUGAGGUAAAGGCUCACCAAGGCGACGAUCCGUAGCUGGUCUGAGAGGACGACCAGCCACACUGGAACUGAGACACGGUCCAGACUCCUACGGGAGGCAGCAGUGGGGAAUUUUGGACAAUGGGGGCAACCCUGAUCCAGCCAUUCCGCGUGAGUGAAGAAGGCCUUCGGGUUGUAAAGCUCUUUCGGCAGGAACGAAACGGUGUCUCCUAAUACGAGUGGCUAAUGACGGUACCUGAAGAAGAAGCACCGGCUAACUACGUGCCAGCAGCCGCGGUAAUACGUAGGGUGCAAGCGUUAAUCGGAAUUACUGGGCGUAAAGCGUGCGCAGGCGGUUUUGUAAGACAGAUGUGAAAUCCCCGGGCUCAACCUGGGAACUGCGUUUGUGACUGCAAGACUUGAGUGUGGCAGAGGGGGGUGGAAUUCCACGUGUAGCA